GCAACCUCUUCCGCCCCCACCUGCGUCCGCCCAGUCGCCGCGCCUGCGCGCAGUCAGCCGGCCGAAGUAGCCGUUAUUCUCCUCCCAGGCGACAGGUGGCGCUGCACGCCCCGUGCCUCAGCGAGUCUUUGUUCUCUCCGCCCGGGAGCGCGCCCCGGGACUCGGCCACGGAUUGCGGACCGCCAGCUGAGGAGGUCGGAGGUCUCCCCCCCCCCGCCCGGGGAUGUGGAAGCUGGUGCCAGCGGCAGGGCCCGCGCCUGCCCCAGGAGAGCCAUAUCGACUUUUGGUUGGUACUGAGUAUGUUGUUGGACGCAAGAACUGUGCAAUUUUAAUUCAGGAUGAUCAGUCAAUAAGUCGAAGUCAUGCAGUUCUGACUGUCACCCACCCUGAAACUAACCUUAGUCAAGCUCUCUCAGUCCCUGAAUUGAUAAUAAAAGACACCUCUAAGUAUGGCACGUCUGUUAAUGGAGAAAAAGUUUUGAAUGGUACUUCCAGAACUCUGAAGUCUGGUGACAGAGUCAAUUUUGGAGUCUUUGAAAGCAAGUUCAGAGUAGAAUAUGAACCUUUGAUUGUCUGCUCCUCGUGUUUAGAGGUUUCUGGGAAAACUGCUUUAAAUCAAGCUAUUCUGCAGCUUGGAGGCCUUGUUGUGAAUGAUUGGUCAGAAGAAUGUACUCAUCUUGUCAUGAUAUCAGUGAAAGUUACUGUUAAGACUAUAUGCGCUUUGAUUUGCAAUCGACCAAUUAUAAAGCCAGAGUACUUUGUGGAAUGUAUCAGAGCCAUUCAAUCCAAGCAGCAGUUGCCAAAACUGGAAAGCUUUUAUCCUCCAGUUGAUGAGCCUGCUAUUGGCCCUGAAAAAUUGGAUCUGUCUGUGCGUCAUGAAAGAAAAAUGAUCUUCAGAGGCAAAACCUUUCUGUUCCUAAGUGCUAAACAGCAUAAGAAACUGAGUCCAGCAAUUAUUCUUGGAGGGGGAGAAGCAAAAGUGUUGCAAGAAAGAAGAAAAGAAACUGCUUUACUGGUAGCUCCUGAAGUCUGUGUCAUUGAUGCAGAAUUAACUAACUCGCAGGUCCCAGUAUCUGACUCAGUGAGAAAUUGGAUUAAUUCCAUUAUGACUGUGUUACAAAGCAAUAAUCUCAGAGCCAUUCCAGAAGCAGAAAUUGGAUUAGCAGUUAUCUUCAUGUCUAUGGAAAGAUAUUGCAACCCUCAAAACCAGCCUGGCAUAACUAAACAGCUGGUUAGUCCAGGAUCAGCUAUUUCGCGUCCAAUCCUUUCUCAGAGUUCGACUGUAGAUGAGACCAUAAUGCCUGUUACUACAAGUGAUAACACAGCAUAUGUAGCUGACACAGAACCAGAAGAACUGAUGGACACAUGUAUGGAGAUAAGCGGAGAGAAGAGAGAGAAAACUCCCAAAAUGGAUCGAAGAGACAAAAUGUAUUCACAGAAUAUAACCACUGUAAAGGAGACUCCCAGCACUAGUGGCAAUGUAAAUACGGGGACAGUAUUACCCAAGAUGCAUAAAACACCUUGGGUUGACCAAAAAAGUCAACCCCUCUCACCCUCUAAAAUUUUAGGAGUUAAUAGAAAUAGAGAGAAAGCUUCACAGCACGAGUCUAACUCCAUUAAAAAUUAUUUCCAGGCAGCUCCAAAGAAAAGGGAAAGGAUUGAAGAGGGAGAAACAUCUGUACCUAAACUGGCAAAGAUGGAGGAAAAGUCAUCUCAUCUUUCCAGUCAAACCCAACCCACAACUUCCUUGAUGUGGAAAAGUAAAGUGGAACACACUCAAAAGGAACAAUAUACCUUGGACUUGAAAACAAACCUCUCACCUGUAGACACAAGCCUAAAGCUUGCAAUAGGAAGUAGCAAAUCAGAGAAAGAUAAAACUGUUACUAAAAAUGUUUCCAGUGAAAAGCCUGCAUCAAAGAAAAGAAAAGAGUUAGGUGGUUUAGCUGAGGAUGCAGCUACACUAGAGCUUGUGUUUGGGAGCAAAGAGUUGGAUUGGGAAGCUGAAAUGGGGGAUCAUGGUGAGGAGCAUGGAGCCAAUAUGCAGAAAAAAAGACGUUUGGAAACCAAGGGGAAAAAGAUUGAAGAAGAAAAUGUAAUUCAAGAAGAAGCCAAUAGGAUAUUGCAAGAAAACGAACUUGGCACUGUUCCAACUUCAAAGAAGAAAAUUGAGAUUAAGCAGGAAUCAUCAGUUUUGAACACUGACAGACUUCAAGAUGUCUCCAGCAAUCUGCCCAGCAGACUCUUGUUGACUGAAUUUAGAUCACUGGUUGUUAGCCAUCCAAGGCCAAAUAGUCUUGUUGUUGCACAAAUCGAUUACGAGCAACUGAACAACUUUAAGAAAUUCAAAAAGGUACCUUAUCCUGGAGCAGGACAACUUCCACACAUUAUUGGAGGAUCAGAUCUAAUAGGUCACCAUGCCAAAAAGAAUUCACAGUUGGAAGAAUGGUUAAGGCAGGAAAUGGAGCUCAUGAUUAAUUUUAGCCUUUGGAAGCCCUAAAAUUAAUCAUAACCCAGAUUCCAAUUAACAAAGUAUCGCAGCUUGAAAACAGACAUAGAUGCUUUACUCCCAUGACAGAAGCAACUCCGGUUAGAACAGGAACAGAAUCGUCAUGCAAGAGAGGAAUCACUCGCUGAUGAUCUCUUUAGAUAUGAUCCUAAUGUGAAAAGGAGAAGAUAAAUUCAAGAGAAUUUACAAUGAACCUACAGCAAAAUCUUGAUACCCUGGUUGCUGGUUCCAGUGUACAAUAUAUAUGGGAAGUCUAAAUUAUCUGUAAGAGUUGUUUUAAGUCCUGCUUUUAUUAAAGGAAAACAGAACCAGUUUUACAUUGUUUUGGCAUUUAGAGAGUCCACAUUUCUGGUUUCAAGACUUUAAACUCAUUUGCUUUAAAGCAGUGCUAUAGUACAACUUUCUAGAUAUUUACGGCUUCACUUCAAGCUUUCUUCUGUUGGUUUGAGAUACACUUCUGCUAUUACUCUAUUGUUCUGAAAAAAGACCCGGUUAAUUUGUUUAGCUUUUUGUAUAACAGUAAUAAUUUGCUGUACAAUAGGGCUCAAAGCACAAAUACAUAAACUACAUAAAACAGACAUGGUGGGGGCAGUAACCUCAUUUUCUGACUCUGAAUAAGUUGGGCAGUCGUCUUGAACAGUAAUCAAAAAAGAAAUCACAAGUGUGAACGCUGCUGCAAUCCACAGACCUCUUAAGUUUCUUUGAAUACAUCUAAUGCUGUGCACCAUGUGAAUAAAAAGUUAACCAGACCUGUUAACCACAAGUCAAAUCAUGGCUAGCAGGUUCUAGAUGAGCUUUCCUUCACCUGGUGUGGAGAGAGAUUUUAUUCUGAGCAUACUAACAACAAUGCUGUUUACCAGUUGGAUAACAUAGGUGUCAGAAUAAAAUCCCUGUCUAUAGUGGGCAGGAAAGUUUUAGAAUUCUGCCCUCCACAAUCAUUCAUACUGCUGUGGCUACUAUUUCAAACCUAAUAUGGGCAGAGUCAUAGGUAACAUUUAAAAUAAAACCUUGCAUCACGUUAAAAGAGGCUUAUAAAAUUUCACUUUAAAUAACAGAGCCAGUUCUGUUGCAGAAAUGCAUACAGGUGCUGAAGUUAAGUCACCUUAAGGUUAAGGGGAAUUUGUUUGUUUGUUUUAAACCACUGUUUAAACUACUGUAGGUAGUUUACAGUGUUGUUGUAGCCAUGAGAGGUGGGGGUGAGGUAAUCUCUUUCACCAACAGAAGUUGGUCCAAUAAAAGACAAGCUUUUGAGCUACACAGAGUUUUGCUUCUUUCCCAGAGUUCUGUGUAGCUCAAAACCUUGUCUCUCAUCAACAGACAUUGGUCCAAUAAGAGAGAUUCCAUGUGUUAGCAAGAUGGUUACUGCCACCUUGAAAUGAUCAAUGUAGGUUACAGCUGUCGUAUGUAGCCAGCUAUCAAACAUACAUUUAUUUUUACAUGCCAAGUAGUCAGAGGUUUUUUUAAACACCCAGAUACUGCUUUUUCAUAACAGGCUUGAUCUAGAUUCCAAUAUAUAACUUUGUCAGCAAUAGUCAGUGCUCUCACAAGAGUGGCAGUUAUGUGAUGAGCCAUUAUGAAUACAUUAUACCCUACGAGUCUGGCUCUUAGGCCUUCACCCCAACCAGUGAAUGAGAGAUCUAACAUAAAUCCUUGACUUCUCAAAUUGUUAAACAGUCUGCUGCUAUUUUCAAAGUUGGUGUCUUCAAAGCUGAGGAGAGCCUGAGCUUUUCAGUAUUGGCAUGUACCAAAUUCAUAAGUGAAGUUACUGUACUAUUUUAUAAUGAAAAUAUUCAUUUUAAACAAAACUUCAAUGAAAUCAGAUCACCUCAAAUAUCCAUUUUUAAACUUUCAUCAUUUGUUCUGUUCCAGUAGGAAUAAGAGUUAGAAUCAAAACCUGCUUACCUAUUUAUUGGGACCAUUUGUAUUAAGUCAUCAUAGGCACUAGGAAUCUUUUCAAAACCCACUUCACCUCUAUUUCUAUAAUCUCAGUAAGCACUACUAACAAAUUAAAAGUAUAUAUGUAUAGGCCCUAGUGCUUCAAGUUAAAGCACUUGUUAAGGGAACUAUUCCCAUGUGUAAAUGUACUCAUGUGUGGCCGCAGUAUUUGGCUUAUAAAGAAGACACAGCUCUUUCACAUGGUGUGGAAAAAGGCACGAGAUGAAAUUGAGAAGGCUUUUUUUUUUUUAAACACACAUCUCCAUCAUCGUUCACAAAUGGCUUGCACACGUCUUCCUUAGGACAGAUACAGCUCAAGCACGUUGAAGAGAAUGCUAAGAAUUGCUCAACCUGCCAGUAGCUCUGCAUGUUCAGGGAGCCUGAUUUUACUGAUUUAUUUUGUGGCUGUAAUGAGCAUUCAUCCCUUUUUCUAUUCCUCUUCUGGGAAAGUUUCCUUCUGCACAGGUUACUUAUCUUCAAAUGAGGAGAAAUGCCAUUUCUUAACUCCUUGUCCAAACAGAAAAGGGCUCUGUCCAAGAAAAAUAAGCAGAAGUCCUCCAAAAGCCGCAAGACUAAAACUUCAUUCUCUGUAUGGGAAGGGGGAUGCUUGUGAACCAAGGAAGAGAGAGAAUAAUUAUUCUUGACAAAGUUGAGGUGAUGAAGAAAAGGUUAUCAGUGGGAGCAGUGGUAGUCAGGAGAUCUCAGCUCUGCCCCUGACCUGCUAGGGGACCUUGGUCAAGUCCAUUCAUUGCUCUGUGCCUCAGUUUCCCUACCUGUGAAACAGGGCUAAUGGCCCAGAUUCACAAAGGCAUUUAGAUACCUAAGUCCAACAUUUUAGGGACCAUUGGUAUUCUGCAAAGCCCCCAGUCAGCUGCCAUCUAACCUAAUAGGAGCCUAGGGGACUCAAGUGCCUAAAUGCUGACACCACAUUGUGGAUUGGACUCCUAACUCAAGUUGAGCUCCAAAGCAGGAUUCUCAAAGCUAUCUUGCUACCAGGGCCUGAUCCCAUAGGCUCUGAGCACACUUAAGACCUGAUACCUGUCACUAAAGACAACUGGAAGCAUGCAUAAUUCAGAGCAGGAACUUGAAGCCAGGUGAAUGCCCUAACCACCAGGCUAUAGGGUAUUCUGAAGUGAGUCUCAGUAUCUCAUGUCAAGAGCUGUUCUUGUAUAAAUAAAUAUUCAUUAGGUCACAGAGAGAGACUGACUAUAGCCCAUUGGUAAGGGCACUCACUUGGGAUGUGGGAGACUCAGAUUCAAGUCCCUGCUCCAAUGAAUAUUUAAUUAUGUAUACAGUAGAACUGCUCCAAUAGGGGAGAGAGAGAGAGAGAGUCCUAGCCCAGCAGUUACUCACCUGGGAAGCGGGAUGUGCUCUGGAGCAGGUUUUUGAACCCAGUUCUCCCACAUCCUAGGUGAGUGCUUCGAUGACCAGCACAGUGCGUCAUCAAAAAAUUUCAAAGCUGUGCUCUCCCCCAUCCCUCCUCAGGCAGUCUAGUGCUUGUGCUGCGCUUCCCCUCCACCUCUCCAUGCAGUCUGGCAGGUAUCUCAGGUCUUAGACAUGAUCACCAGCAGGCCCUUAUCACCCACUUGCUACCACUAAGGUUUCUUGGCUGUUCUCUAGCCUUUUCAUCUGCUCCCGGGACCCCAUCCCAUCCCACUUCUCACCCUCUUUGGCUCCAUUCUCACUUUUCUUCCCUGCACAAUAUAAGCAUCCUUUAGUCUCCAUCUUAAACACCCCAACCUUGACCUCACUUGCCUUUCCAAUUAUUGCCCAAACUCCCAAACUGAGUGAACCGCAUUUUCAAUCAUUUCCUGAAAUACCCAUCUUCUACCCUCUUCAUUCCACUGUCCUCUUCCUGGACAAAGCUAAGGGCUUCUGCUCCAUCUUCACUCUCCUUUUGACACUUUAUGACCAUCUAGUAUUUGAAAUCCUGUUAGCCAUUGGCUUCCAUGGCUCUCCUUUGCUACUAUGUUUAUUCCCUUCAGCAUGUUGUUUGCUGGGUCUUUCUUCUCCUUCCCCUCUCUUUCAAUAGCUGUUUCCCACAUAUCUGUCCUUUGUGCUCCACAGCCUGGAUGAAAUGUCUAGGCAAUCUUACCCACUUUCAUAGGCUCUGACCACCAUCUUUGUGCUUAUGACUCAAAUAUGUGCCUCACUACUCAGAACCUAUUCCACAUCUUGGCUCAGUAGUACUCAACCAGCGGUACGUGUGCCCCGGUCGGUACUCAGAGGUAUUCAGGAGGUACAUCAACUCAUCUAGAUAUUUGCCUAGUUUUACAACAGGCUACAUAAAAAGCAUUAGUGAAGUCAGUACAAACUAAAAUGUCAGACAAUUAUUUGUUUAUACUGCUCUGUACAAUAUACACUGAAAUGUUAGUACAAUAUUUAUAUUCCAAUUUUAUAAUUGUAUGGUAAAAAUGAGAAAGUGAGCAAUUUUUCAGUAAUAGUGUGCGGUGACACUUUGUAUUUUUAUGUCUGAUUUUGUAAGCAAGUAGUUUUUAAGUGAGAUGAAACUUGGGGGUAUGCAAGACAAAUCAGACUCAAAGGGGUAUAGUAGUCUGGAAAGAUUGAGAAUCACUGUCUUGGCUGAUCUGGUAACUUAAAUUGAACAUGGCAAAGACCGAGCUCCAUUGUUCCUGCCAACAUCCAAGACUUUCAACACUUCCCUCUCUGAACCCUUGUAAUCAAGCUAUAUUCAAAUCUUGAAAUUUCUCCAUUUCAAUAUCUUUAAGAACCAACCUUUUCCUUGUUCAGAUUGUCAAACCUCUUGUUUAAUCUCAUGACUUGACUAUUGGAACCACCUCCUCACUAACUUUAACUACAACCACCUUGGGUCCAUUCAGAACACUGCUGCCAAGCUGUUUCCUAGUUGAUCCUGGCACUAUGCUUCAAAUCCUUCCUCUGGCUCCCCUUUUUCCACUAUAUCGAAGACAAAUAUUUGGUCCUUACCUUCAAAGCCCUUAUCUAUGUAGGUGCUUUUGAAAAUUUUACCCCUCGUCUUUCAUCUCUGUCCUUAACCACUCUCAAGCAUCAUCAACACAAACUGGCUCCACAGGCAAUCAAUAAGCCAAAUGGAAUGGGUCUUCUACUCCAGACAGAGCUAGGACAGCCCCAGGCAGACCUGUCUGCAACCUGACAAAAAGCUAAAGGGAUUAAUAUUUUUCCAGAGAGAACUCAGAUUCCUCUGGGAUGCAUAUUCUGUCACAUCAGUGGUCACAAUCUUUGCUAUGCAUUUUCCACAUUCCUCCAAGACACAAAAAUAGUACAAAAAUACUAGGUGGAUGGGACAGUAAUUCUAGUAGCAUACAUCAGCUAUGGUAGCCCUCCUUUUUGGUCUCACCGCUUCCCCUCUGACCUGGGCUUAAUAUUUCUCCCUCUGUCUCUAAGCUGUUAUCUGACUUGAGAUAUUCUGGACAAAUUAUCUUUACAUUGCACUCAUCUAGAAAGAAAGUCUUGGCACAAAGAAAUUUUUCUAAGGGGAGAAAUAAAAAAUAGCCCCAGGGAUGCUGGCUAUUAUUCAACUGUUGCAUGAAGAUCUGUCCAUAGGUCUCAGCUUUAACUCCUCGAAGGUGCAACUUUCUGCCCUCAGUGUUUUAAAUCCAGAUCUUCCUUGGCCUCUAUCAUCCUCAAACUUGCCAAACUUCUUAAAGCCCUUUUCACAAUUUCCCCUGCAAGGACCAGAAUGGCAUCUUCAACACCAUUACUUGGACUCCAUUUGAAUGCUAAUGUCAACAAAGCCUUGCAUGUUUCAGUUGCCAUCACUUUAGAGUCCCAGAUAGUAUAGCUCUUUCAAGUAAGACACUUUUUCCUCUUUCAGGAAGGCAAAACAGUUCUUAAACCGUCUCCCAGUUUUAUUCCAAAUGCUCUUUCUCUCCCCAGUUGAGGUUAUGUGCUCCCAUUUGUCAGCUCAGUUCAAAAACAGCCACAAGUCGUACCGAGAAACUCUUCCACAUUGUUUUUCAUUCUAAAUACAAAGUUUAACAAGUCUUUUGCAGCUUCAGGAACCAGAUGGAUUCACUGUUACAUAGUAGAAAAUGCAAGGCUUCCAGAAAUGCAGCAUCCAAAGACGUCUAGGCUUAUUUGUCAUGGAGCAUGGCAACAUGCUGGUCAGAACUUUAGCCUUAGUAGGGAGAGAGAUGUAAGGCUGCACUACAGUCAUCUCUCCACUUUUGCCAGAUCUACAAACUCAGUUUGCAAGCAUCUGCAGAGACCUCCUUCAGGAGGGCGAUACUCCAGUCUCUGGUCCCAAUUUAAACCCUCCAGGAUCAUAGGGGAAUCUUUCCUAGGUCAUCUUUCCUACUUUCUCUCCCUAUUGUUCCUCACUGCUCAUUUCUUGCCAUCAGUGAAGACCAUCGAGAAGAAUGCCAAUUGUCUUUCUUCCAGUUAUGAUUACACUAAAUCAUCCUAUCCAGCUGUAUUCAGUUUACUUAUCUUAGAGCAGGUUCCCAGUAAAUAGAUUCCAUUUUCUCCCCUUAGGGUGACAGGUGUAAAAAAAACAAACAAACAAAAAAAAACUAAUCUCAAAGCUGGGUUGAAUGAUUACAUUUAGGAUUUAAAUUUUCUACAACUUUGGAUGAACUCUUCUAGUGGGUUGCCAGGUGAGUAGGUCCAGCAUUCCCUUCAAAGCACAUGAACUGCUACUGGUCUGUAGAGAAAGAGGGUGCAAUUCAGUCAGGAUUAGUGGGCACAACAUUUAUAACAUAACACACCAACCUGUGGAACUCAGUGCCUUAGGUGAACACCUUGGUAAGAUUCAAGAGAAGAUUACGUAUUGUAUCUGAAUAAAGAAUUCUGCAAUUACUCUCUAGUAUAAAAGCUUUAGCCACAUGUCAGACCUCAUGUUUCAAGUUAUAAGCCAAUCUGCUAGACCCCAAAAGAAACUCUCCCCAUGGUUUAUUAUUACACAAGUGCCUUUCUUUAAACAAUUACCACUGUUAAACAGUCAGGUAGUAAGUGCACCAUUAGUCAGGUCUGGUAUGGCAAUUCUGAGGUUGAACUCCAAGAUACUUUCAGGGAUCAAAUUAUUUUAAAAACUUCAUGGCUAUAAUUUAGCCUGGCGAUAUACUCAGUAUUGCUUUGGAUUAUAACCUAUUUCUGAACCAAAGGCAACCAUAAAAAUAUAAAUUGCAUUGCUACACAAUCCGGGUUAGUGCUACCCUAGUUAACUGCAAUUUUAUUAUCAAUUUGUAAAAUAAGUCCAGGUCUUCUGAAAAUACCAAAUAUUAGUCUGCAUAAUUGACAGUUGACAGCUUUUUCAUCGGGUGAAAAAAAGCCAGUUGCAAAUAUAAAACUAGCAGCUCCUAGCAUACUGCUUCAACCAGUAAAAAGGCUUAUUUACACACUGGCGAGGUAACAUUUAUUCUUCAAAUUCUAGACAUGCAUACUGAAAACUACUGCUCUGUCCAGCCUAUUGACCUGCACUCAAACCUUAGUUGAAUGCUUAGGAACACUGGCAGGAAUGGAAGAGAUCACUGCUAACUCUUUGGGAGGUGCUGCAAACCUAGAGCAAUGGACGCCAAUAUAAGACCCUCAGUAAAAAGCUCUGCAAUUAACUCUUGUCAUCAUGUUAAGUGUUUAUAAUACCUAAGUAGCUGCUGCAGCUAAAGAUGGGACUAGUCUGUCUUCUACAUUUUUUUGCUUUUGUGAUUAAGGCAGUCCUUUUGUCCCAUUUAAUUAUUAAACUAGAAGUACAUGAAAAAUCAAAUUUGUGCAUGAAUGAUGGGAAUGCUUUUUAUAAUCUGUGAUGUUAUUUUGUAAGUUAUCUACCAUAAAUGUCUGAAACAACUCCAAUUUUGGAUUUGCCUCACCGCCAUGCAAAAGUAUUGCAAGUUUGUUACAAGCGCAAUUACGUUCUUUAAUAAAAUCUUUAGCUCAUACCUAA